rnacentral:rRNA from 1 species
UACGUGAGGGUGCGAGCGUUAAUUCGGAAUACUGGGCGUAAAGCGUGCGCAGGCGGUGAUGUAAGACAGUUGUGAAAUCCCCGGGGCUCAACCCGGGAACUGCGUCCGAUACUGGGAGGCUUGAAUCCGGGAGGAGGGAUGUGGAAUUCCAGGUGUAGCGGUGAAAUGCGUAGAUAUCUGGAGGAACACCCGGUGGCGAAGGCGGCAUCCUGGACCGGUAUUGACGCGUGAGGCGGCGAAAAGCUAGGGGAGCAAACGGG